rnacentral:rRNA from 1 species
GACGAACGCUGGCGGCGUGCCUAAUACAUGCAAGUUGAGCGCUGAAGGUUGGUACUUGUACCAACUGGAUGAGCAGCGGACGGGUGAGUAACGCGUGGGGAAUCUGCCUUUGAGCGGGGGACAACAUUUGGAAACGAAUGCUAAUACCGCAUAAAAACUUUAAACACAAGUUUUAAGUUUGAAAGAUGCAAUUGCAUCACUCAAAGAUGAUCCCGCGUUGUAUUAGCUAGUUGGUGAGGUAAAGGCUCACCAAGGCGAUGAUACAUAGCCGACCUGAGAGGGUGAUCGGCCACAUUGGGACUGAGACACGGCCCAAACUCCUACGGGAGGCAGCAGUAGGGAAUCUUCGGCAAUGGACGAAAGUCUGACCGAGCAACGCCGCGGGAGUGAAGAAGGUUUUCGGAUCGUAAAACUCUGUUGGUAGAGAAGAACGUUGGUGAGAGUGGAAAGCUCAUCAAGUGACGGUAACUACCCAGAAAGGGACGGCUAACUACGUG